CGGAUGUAGCCAAGUGGAUCAAGGCGGU
rnacentral:tRNA from 4 species